rnacentral:rRNA from 1 species
GGGUCGAGCUUGGGGUAACCUAGGCUCCUCAACUGUAGCUUUUCACACUUUGUGCACUAAGAUUGUAUUUUGGGCAUAGUCUCUAUGCCCAGCCUUUUAAAACCUCUUUAAUUUAUACUGAUUUUAUUUUAAAAAAAUAACAACUUUUGACAACGGAUCUCUUGGCUCUCGCAACGAUGAAGAACGCAGCGAAAUGCGAUACGUAAUGUGAAUUGCAGAAUUCCGUGAAUCAUCAAAUCUUUGAACGCAUAUUGCACUCUAUUUCGGUAGAGUAUGCCUGUUUGAGAAUCUAUAGUAUUUAUUCUACCUAGGUUGUGUCUUUGGGCAUAACUUAUGGCAGAGAUUUGAGGCUUCUCUAACAAGAGUGCCUUUAAAUAUAUUGCUUGUUGGACGAGUAAGGCGUUGACUCUUUACUUUAUCAGCAGAAACGUAUUCGAAUGGGCCGAAAGGUUCUCCUUGUACUUAAUACGCUGAUGUUUAGAUGAGCUUUGUGAGUUUGGCAAGUCCAUAAACUAAAAGAUGCAAAAUAGUAAUAUUAAGCAUCUUGAACCAUGGUCUCAAAUCAGGUAGGAUUACCCGCUGAACUUAAGCAUAUCAAUAAGCGGAGGAAAAGAAACUAACAAGGAUUCCCCUAGUAACGGCGAGUGAAGCGGGAAGAGCUCAAAUUUGAAAGCUCACCUCUGGUGCGAAUUGUAGUUUAGAGAAGCGUUUUCGGUCUGGACAGUGGGUACAAGUUCAUUGGAACAUGACAUCAUAGAGGGUGAAAAUCCCGUCUUUGACCCAUUGCUUCAGUCCAUAUGAUACGUUUUCCAAGAGUCGGUUUGUUUGGGAAUGCAGACC